rnacentral:rRNA from 1 species
CACGUAGGAUCCGAGCGUUAUCCGAAUUUACUGGGCGUAAAGCGCGUGUAGGCGGCCGGGUAAGUUGGACGUGAAAGCUCCUGGCUCAACUAGGAGAUGUCGUUCAAAACUGCCUGGCUAGAGGGCGACAGAGGGAGGUGGAAUUCCCGGUGUAGUGGUGAAAUGCGUAGAUAUCGGGAGGAACACCAGUGGCGAAGGCGGCCUCCUGGGUCGCCCCUGACGCUCAGACGCGAAAGCUAGGGGAGCAAACGGGAUUAGAUACCCGUGUA